rnacentral:tRNA from 1 species
UGAUGUGGCUCAAUGGCAGAGCAUCUCACUCGUAAUGAGAAGGUUGUCAGUUCGAUUCUGACCAUCA